GAAUUACUGGGCGUAAAGCGUGCGCAGGCGGUUUUGUAAGACAGUGGUGAAAUCCCCGGGCUCAACCUGGGAACUGCCAUUGUGACUGCAAGGCUAGAGUGCGGCAGAGGGGGAUGGAAUUCCGCGUGUAGCAGUGAAAUGCGUAGAUAUGCGGAGGAACACCGAUGGCGAAGGCAAUCCCCUGGGCCUGCACUGACGCUCAUGCACGAAAGCGUGGGGAGCAAACAGGAUUAGAUACCCUGGUAGUCAAGGGCG
rnacentral:rRNA from 1 species